UACUGGUUUGGUGAUUGUGAAAACCAGGUUCAGCUAUCUGAAGUUCUAGUUGGCAUUGCACAUCCCAUUGAUAUCAAACUUCUCUGCAAGGGUGUUCACUCCUCGGCAAAAUAUUCUCUGGCCUCAAUGGAAAUCCGAAAAGGAGGGGAAAACAAUGAGCGAUACGGUGUUGGUUGAUAUGCAUUGUCCUGAGAGUUCUAUGUGUCAUUGUGUUCCUGGGUUGGUAUUGUGUCUUAAUAUCACAAAAUAUAUGGAUUAUACUCAUGAGGUGAAAGAGGUCACAGGGACAUUACAUGUACUACUUGUCUUAAGAAAGAGAUGGUGUUAGCAUGACAAGAGGUUUUACUAGAAUUAAAAGGACCAAGCUUAUAUUGGCCUUUACCAGAUUGAAAUCGGUUAGGCUACAGUGGAUAAUGGGUUCAAGCUAUGAUUCAUAAUAUUCAUAUCUGAGUUGGUCGUAUAGUAUUUUGGGGAAUAUUUGCAAGUUACCAAUGGUCCUGUCAGUGAAAUUAUUUGUCCUCAAACCAUACUGAUCUCGAAGACUGAAAGUUUCAAGACAAGUAUUGGAGCAAUAAUUUGAGUACCUAGUCUGUGUAAGCAAUACUGGUGAAUAAUAGAGAGGAUCCUGAGUAUCUCUGUGAACUUUUUAUCACCAUGUUUCAUCGAUUGAGCAUUAAAAUGAAGCACCAUGGCCGGAUCUCCUAUGCCAAUGGGCGGUACUUCUGCUUUGCUCGCGACCAGGAUAAGUGGCUCAUCUCUGAUGCUGAGACUAUUGAGGCAGAAGAUUCAUGGGAGCAGUUGCUUGAACGCUUCAGAGACUGCAGGCUCCAACCUGAAGUUCUUUUUUUCGAGAUCAUCAAUUAGAUAGAUGGACUGCCUGGAAGAACCCUGUCAUAAUAUUGUAUUCAUAGCUUCAAGUUAAUUUUGACAUUUUUGCAAGCAACUUGCUUGUCAUUAUCUUGAUGCUAACAGUUUUGAUAUAUCUCCUUGUAAAACUACCAUUUCUUACCAGUUUUGGAAUGUUCUUGAUCAUUGAACAGCCUGUAUUUGUUCCAUUCCUUCUCUUUCCAGUUUCCAGUGGUGUCAAGGAAAGUUACCUCUUUGUGAUUGAAAAAAUAAAGAGGAAAAAUAUA